CCUACGGGAGGCAGCAGUAAGGAAUUUUCGUCAAUGGAGGAAACUCUGACCCAGCGACGCCGCGUGCGGGAUGAAGGCCUUCGGGUUGUAAACCGCUUUCAGUAGGGAAGAAGCGAAAGUGACGGUACCUACAAAAGAAGCACCGGCUAACUAUGUGCCAGCAGCCGCGGUAAUACAUAGGGUGCAAGCGUUGUCCGGGAUUAUUGGGCGUAAAGAGCUCGUAGGUCGUUUGUUACGUCGGAUGUGAAAACCUGAGGCUCAACCUCAGGCCUGCAUUCGAUACGGGCAAACUAGAGUUUGGUAGGGGAGACUGGAAUUCCUGGUGUAGCGGUGGAAUGCGCAGAUAUCAGGAGGAACACCAAUGGCGAAGGCAGGUCUCUGGGCCAAUACUGACACUGAGGAGCGAAAGUCUGGGGAGCGAACAGGAUUAGAUACCCUGGUAGUCCAGACCGUAAACGGUGGGCACUAGUUGUGGGAACCUUCCACGGUUUCUGCGACGCAGCUAACGCAUUAAGUGCCCCGCCUGGGGAGUACGAUCGCAAGAUUAAAACUCAAAGGAAUUGACGG
rnacentral:rRNA from 1 species